rnacentral:rRNA from 1 species
AACGAACGCUGGCGGCAGGCUUAACACAUGCAAGUCGAACGCCCCGCAAGGGGAGUGGCAGACGGGUGAGUAACGCGUGGGAAUCUACCUAGUUCUACGGAACAACUGAGGGAAACUUCAGCUAAUACCGUAUACGCCCUACGGGGGAAAGAUUUAUCGGAAUUAGAUGAGCCCGCGUUGGAUUAGCUAGUUGGUGGGGUAAUGGCCUACCAAGGCGACGAUCCAUAGCUGGUCUGAGAGGAUGAUCAGCCACACUGGGACUGAGACGCGGCCCAGACUCCUACGGGAGGCAGCAGUGGGGAAUAUUGGACAAUGGGCGCAAGCCUGAUCCGUCCAUGCCGCGGGAGUGAUAAAGGCCUUAGGGUUGUAAAGCUCUUUCAGUGGGGAAGAUAAUGACGGUACCCACAGAAGAAGCCCCGGCUAACUGCGUGCCAGCCGCCGCCGUAAGAC